UCAAGUCAGCAUGGCCUUUAUAUCCUGGGCUACACACACGCUACAAUGGUCGGUACAAUAGGUUGCCAAGCCGCGAGGCGGAGCCAAUCCAAAAAAGCCGGCCUCAGUUCAGAUUGUAGGCUGCAACUCGCCUGCAUCGAAGAUGGAGCUGCUAGUAACCGCAGGUCAGCAAUACUGCGGUGAAUACGUUCCCGGGUCCUU
rnacentral:rRNA from 1 species